rnacentral:rRNA from 1 species
AAAUGCAGAGGCUCAACUCUGUUCGGCACUGGAUACUGGCAAGCUUGAAUGCGGUAGAGGUAAAGGGAAUUCCUGGUGAGCGGUGAAAUGCGUAGAUAUCAGGAGGAACAUCGGUGGCGAAAGCGCUUUACUGGGCCGAAUUGACACUGAGGAACGAAAGCCAGGGUAGCAAAUGGGAUUAGAUACCCCAGUAGUCCUGCCGUAAACGAUGGAUACUAGGUGUUGCGGGUAUCGACCCCUGCAGUGCCGAAGCUAACGGAUAAGUAUCCCGCCUGGGGAGUACGCACGCAAGUGUGAAACUCAAAGGAAUUGACGGGGCCCGCACAAGCGGUGGAACAUGUGGUUUAAUUCGAAGCAACGCGAAAAACCUUACCAGGGUUGACAUCUGACGAACCUCGAUGAAAGUUGAGGGUGCUCUUCGGAGAGCGUCAAGACAGGGGUGCACGGUUGUCGUCAGCUCGUGUCGUGAGAUGUUGGGUUAAGUCCCGCAACGAGCGCACCCACGUUGUCAGUUGGUACUGUCGGUAUACUUACAGUAACCUCUCUGGCGAGACUGCCGUGAUAAACCGGAGGAAGGUGUGGACGACGUCAAAUCAUCAUGCCCCUUAUGCUCUGGGCACACACGUGUUACAAUGGCUGGUACAACGAGUCGCCAACUCGCGAGAGUGAGCAAAUCUCAAAAGCCAGUCUCAGUUCGGAUUGCACUCUGCAACUCGAGUGCAUGAAGUCGGAAUCGCUGUAAACGCAGAUCAGCACGCUGCGUUGAAUACGUUCCCGGGUCUUGUACACACCGCCCGU